GCUGAGCGAAGGCUGUGAGGAGGUGCUCCUCGCUGAUGCUGACUCUAAACCAUGUCGGCCAGCCUGGAAGGAGUGGCAGGGACCUCUCGGAUGGGAGGGAUCCCUCCUGUCAGGAACAAUGGCUAAAUACUUUUCAAAUCUGGAGAAGUGAAUGUACAUCCAGAUCCCGGAAAUGGAAAUUUGUUGAUAAAGCAGCACAGCAGGCAGAUGGAAGGAAACCUCUUUCUGUCAGGCCAAAGCAUCGGCUUGCUCUGAAUACUCGAGCUGCAGAUAUGUGCAGAAGCCAUCCUGGAGGGUAAAAGGAGAUUCAUUAAACAUCUACUACGCCUCUUCCUUUCAAAAGUUCUCUUUACCAUCAGGGUGUGGAUAAUUCCUUUCUUGGACACGACCUAAUUAUUUGUAGAAACUAGUUCAUUUGUAUGCCAAAAACUCAAGAGUAAUAAUUGGGUGUGCCUGUUCAGCUGGGGCUGGAGGUCUGUCACCCAGCUUGGGCUCCCUUCCCCACCUCCAGUCUCUUUCUCUGUCUCUCUAAAGAAGAUGGUGGUGGUGGUGAUUGAAAGUAUGCAAUGUUCCACGCAAACGAGACCUUCCUCACAAUUCUCAUGAUAACUGUAUGAGAUAGGUACCACUGUUCUUCCCAUUUACACAUUUGGAAACCCAAGCUUUGAAAAGCUACAUAGCUUGCCUAAGAUCAAACAACUAGUAAGUGGCUGGCCAGAGACUCGAGUCCUUACUGAUCCCACUGCCCAGUUCCCACCCACCAGGAUAUAUGCCUCAUUUAGAAUCUCAGCGGUAUACCUUGGGGGAAGAACUAUGGUCAUAGGCACUGGGCGGGGGGACCUGUAGGGCCUGGGAACAUCUCUUUUCUCUCCACUGCCCCAAAGCCCCAAUGCGCUAGAGCUUUCUCUUCUCUGGAAUCCUGAUUUCCUAUUCAAAUCAGAUGGCAAUGUAAACACUCGUAUUGAUUUGGUUGGAGAAUUGGCCCCAGGUCUGAAUAGAGGAGUCAUUUUAGAACUUAAUUCAUCCUGGAACAAUAGAAGGGCACUGACAGACACAAAGGCAGAGAAUGUUUAAAGCAGGUGUCUCAGCUCCUUAUUCUUAUACAAUCAAAAUUAGGUAACAUUAAUAAUAAUGAUGAUGAUGAUAUUUGUUGACAAUUUACUUUGUGACUGUCCCUGUUCUAAACACUUGACAUGUAUUAACUGAUCCAAUUACGUCACAGAAUUUCUUGCUCAGAUGUUUCACUUUUGCUUUGAGGUAAGGUGACAAAUGUAUCCUUUAUUCUCCGGUUUUAGGACACUCUUCUUGAAACUUGCUUUAGCUACUGAAAUCCCCAGUUAAACUAUUCCGAGUUUAACCUGACCUUAUGAAAUUUGAAAAUUGUGAACAAGUAUAUCCUCUCAGAUCAGUUUCAAGUAGAUGAAGGCACUGAGGGACAUAUCAUACUCGGCACCAACAGUCUUUGUGUUUUCCUUACUAAUCUUCAAUUUGACUAUAAAGCAUAACCCAACUUACCCAUUCAGUUCUGCCCACUGAUUCAUAGUCUAUUUUCACGAAAAGCUGUUCUAUUUGUUCAAUCCUCUGGAAAGGAAGGAAAAAACAACCCCGUUUAUAGAUGGCACAGGAGUAAACUCUUUAUUAGGUUGUUGGGGGAGAGGAUGAAAGAGAGGAAAUCUUAAUUUUUCCAAUUUAUAAAUUUCAUAUUAAAAUGCACCAUACUCAAAGAUCUCUGGAAUGCCUGCUCCAAAACAUGAAUAGGGUGGUUAGUUGGAGUUCAGUGCGCUGACCCUAAAACUCUUUCCCCAUGAGAUACUGGGGCUCCUAGAACUUCUAUCUUGGUAUUCAUGGCCUAUGUGAUCCCCUCCCCUUGAGCAGCUGGCUUGUAGCCAAUAGAAUACCUUAAUGUAGAGGGUAAUGUCAUUUCUAUGAUUAGAUUACAUGAGAACCUAGCUUGGGCCUUGCUCACAGGCUCUCUUCCUGGCUAGCUUUGAUGAGGCCAGCUGCUCUGUUGUCAGCUGCCCUAAUGAGAGGCCCACAUGGCAAGGAACUGAGGGCAGCCUCUGGGCAACAGCCAGCAAGGAAAUGAAGCCUGGCAACAACCAUGUGUCCUCGGAAGUGGAUCCUUCCCCAGUCAAGCUUUCAGAUGAGACACCGAUCAGAGCUACCACCUUGAUUGCAGCCUCAUGAGACGCUCAUGAGAUGCCCUACCGCAGAGAACCCAGCUAAGUCAUGACUAGAUUCCUAACUCACAAAAAAUGUGAGAUAAUAAAUAUGGAUUGUUGGGGGCACCUGGGUGGCUCCAUCAGUCAAAUGUCCGACUCUCGACUUUGG